rnacentral:rRNA from 1 species
GAUGGAAAGUGGGCUUAAAGAAGCCAUCUUUUUAGAGUGGGUUAACCCUCAGUAUUUCUAGUUAAUGAUCAAAUGAAGUUCCUUUUGUUCAACAAAACUUCUUCACGAAACUAAGGGGUGAAGGUAAUAAUGUAAAGAUGAGUAGCUCAGUUUUUGGGGUUUAUUUGGUUCAGGAAAUUAAACGCUAAGUGAACGAUGAUGAUAAGCAAAGCUAAAGGAACUCGGCAACAACGAAAACCGCCUGUUUAGCAAAAACAUGGCUCCUUGAAAUCAUAAGGAGUCGUGCCUUCCCGGUGAGUUUAAACUUAAACGGAUGCGGUAAAGCGUGCUAAGGUAGCUAAGUUAUGGCCUAGUUAAUUGUAGGCCCUGUGAAUGGUUUGACGAGUUUUCUUCUGUCUCUAGCUUGUUUUAGUGAACUUGAAUUGGAUGUGCAAAUGCUUCCUUGCGAAAGAAAGACGAGAAGACCCCGUGAAGUUAGAAAUCUAUGUGCGUGGAGGUAGAAGGUUACUUCCCUUAGCUUAUGGUUUUGG